AGUGGCGGACGGGUGAGUAACGCGUGGGCAACCUGCCCUGUACCGGGGGACAACAGCCAGAAAUGGCUGCUAAUACCGCAUAAGCCUGCUGUUCCGCAUGGCACAGCAGGGAAAACCACGGUGGUACAGGAUGGGCCCGCGUCUGAUUAGUUAGUUGGCAGGGUAACGGCCUACCAAGACAACGAUCAGUAGCCGGCUUGAGAGAGUGGACGACCACAUUGGGACUGAGACACGGCCCAGACUCCUGCGGGAGGCAGCAGUGGGGAAUAUUGCACAAUGGGGGGAACCAUGAUGCAGCAAUACCGCGUGGGUGAAGAAGCACUCCGGUGCGUAAAGCCCUGUCAGCAGGGAAGAAAAUGACAGUACCUGGACAAGAAGCCCCGGCUAACUACGUGCCAGCAGCCGCGGUAAUACGUAGGGGGCAAGCGUUAUCCGGAUUUACUGGGUGUAAAGGGAGCGCAGGCGGCGUGGCAAGUCAGAUGUGAAAACCCGGGGCCCAACCCCGGGAGUGCAUUUGAAACUGCCAUGCUGGAGUGCCGGAGAGGUAAGCGGAAUUCCUAGUGUAGCGGUGAAAAGCGUAGAUAUUAGGAGGAACACCAGUGGCGGAGGCGGCUUACUGGACGGUAACUGACGCUGAGGCUCGAAAGCGUGGGGAGCAAACAGGAUUAGAUACCCUGGUAGUCCACGCCGUAAACGAU
rnacentral:rRNA from 1 species